rnacentral:rRNA from 1 species
UACGGAGGGAGCUAGCGUUGUUCGGAAUUACUGGGCGUAAGGCGCACGUAGGCGGCUUUGUAAGUUAGAGGUGAAAGCCUGGGGCUCAACCCCAGAAUUGCCUUUAAGACUGCAUCGCUUGAAUCCGGGAGAGGUGAGUGGAAUUCCGAGUGUAGAGGUGAAAUUCGUAGAUAUUCGGAAGAACACCAGUGGCGAAGGCGGCUCACUGGACCGGUAUUGACGCUGAGGUGCGAAAGCGUGGGGAGCAAACAGG